ACAUCGCAGUUCUUCAGGAAAGCAGCCAACGAUGCGCUGACAUCGGCGCUGACAUCGACGAAGUAGUGACUUGGCCAUGGGUUUUAAAGUCUACCUCCCGAAUCCAGUUUUGAUCCUCAUAAUAGUGAGCGAUGCAUCUCGUCUUCAACCUCCUCAUCAUCCUUCUUCUUCUUCUUCUUCUGCUUCUCCUCUUCUUGCCAGCGCAGGUCAGUUUUUAUUGCAUACUUUUGCUCCAAAGGACAAACUAGGCAAAUCACUGCCUUUGUGUAAACAUUCUGAGACAAUGUUUACACAAAGGCAGUGAUUCCCAAACUGGGGGCCAUGUAGCAGAAUGCAGGGGGCCAUAAUCUGAGGAUAUGUAUAUAUAAAACCAAAAGAAUUUAGUGGGUAUAGGCAGCCAGUGGAGGCAACUUACAGGUUCAGUACGGUGGGCCAUGGGCAAGUAUCCUGUAUGAAAAAUUGGUUAACGAAUAGAAAAAGUUUUGGAACCACUGGCCUAAGGACUUCUUGAUGAGCAUUUAAUAAAUUGUUUAAAGAGUCUACAGAAUACUGAGAUUAUAAAUCGUGCUGAUUAUCGAUCGUAAAUUGACUGAGUGAUUGGUUUCUCCGAAAGAACACGACGUCCUCUCCUUGGCACAAGGGGCUACCGUAGCUGUCCUCAAGGAAUCGGGCCUCGAGGAAUGCUCCGUGGCUUUCGUCACUGACGGGACCGCGUCUUCUCGCACCUUCCAUGAACUACUGAGCGCGAUGCAGAUGAGAGCAAGUUUUUCGGUCUUUGAAGGAUCUUUGACCGAUGCAGCCGACGCUAUGCUCUUUCGGCCACAAGACCUAUUUCCAAAAUAUCGUUCAGUUGGGCACACUGUCGAGGUGCGUGACGCUCGUACUAGCCAGCAACGACCUCUACUUCCUGACGGCCUUCGUCAGGCGCUCGGCCAGAGAUGACGUCAUCGUCUGGCCCACCAGGCUCCUGGUCGUUACUCGCCUGCCGAGGCGCCAGCUUCUCCACCUCCGUCAGGAGCUCUCCGGCGUCAACGCGAUGGUGAUGAGUUUGGCCGGCAGUCUGGUUCCUCUGAGGUGUCAGAUUUACAUCCAUCUGGCCUACGAUACUCGCAGUCUCUCCGUCGCAUCCUGGACGUCGAGGUUCGGAAUUAAAUACCUGACAGAGAAUCGGCUAUUCCCCGACAAAUUCAACAAG